AGGAUCCUCUGAAGAGACCUAGCUGGUCCCAAAGACGUCCAGUCAACACCUUAGGUUACUGGUUACAGUCCAAGUCUCACAACCAUACAGUAAGACUGGAUGCACUUGGAGCCUUAAGACUUGGACCUU